GUUUGGACAGAUUUGUAGUUUUGAGGAACAAAGUGUGUGCUGAAUAGCAGGUUGGUGAGAGUGUCUGUCAGGGAAAAACGUGAACUUUUCAGUUUACUAGCCAUUUUUGUCUCGCAUAUGCUAAGGCUCCUUUACAUGCAGAAUCUCUGCACUUUCACUCAAUUUACCCUGAUGGUAGAUCGUGCCAUGGCAAGGUGACUCAGUGUUUAGUUCUGCUGACUUUUGGAUCCCAUGUCUAGAGUCUGAGUGCUACAUUGGCUGCGUGGAGUUUGAACAUUCUUUUCUGUGCUUGUCUGGGUUUUCCAUCCCCAUCCUCAAAGAUGUGUAGGUUAGUUUAAUUAGCAAUUUUAAACUGGCCCUGUUUGGGUGUAUCUUUGAGUGGGCUGUGCAACGGAACAGUGUCCUGUCUUGUUCCCUGUGCUUCCAGAAUAGUCUCUGGAGCCUUAACAUGCAGAGUUUGAGAAUAUUGUGGUAGAAUAUAAUAUAAAACUGUAUGAAGGAUGGGGCAAUUUGAAAGAGUGUGGAUUAACAUGGGAGUAUUAAAAUAGUAAAAAAUAAUCAGAUCCCUUUUCAAAUGACAGAAAAGAAAAAAGAGAACAAAAAAAGGCAUAUUAGAAUAAUGAUAAUGAAAUUACAUGAAAAGAGAAU